rnacentral:rRNA from 1 species
ACGGAGGGUCCGAGCGUUAAUCGGAAUUACUGGGCGUAAAGCGUGCGCAGGCGGUUUUUUAAGCCAGAUGUGAAAGCCCUGGGCUCAACCUAGGAAUUGCAUUUGGAACUGGGGAACUAGAGUCUUGUAGAGGGAGGUAGAAUUUCAGGUGUAGCGGUGAAAUGCGUAGAUAUCUGAAGGAAUACCGGUGGCGAAGGCGGCCUCCUGGACAAAGACUGACGCUCAUGCACGAAAGCGUGGGGAGCAAACAGG